CACCUUGACCACGUCGUCGAAGUCCACGCC
rnacentral:antisense_RNA from 1 species